rnacentral:rRNA from 1 species
ACAUCCAAGGAAGGCAGCAGGCGCGCAAAUUACCCACUCUCAAAACGAGGAGGUAGUGAAGAGAAAUAACGAUGUUAGUCUUUUAUAGGCUGACAAUCGGAAUGGGAACACUGUAAACAGGUUAUCGAUUAACAAUUGGAGGGCAAGUCUGGUGCCAGCAGCCGCGGUAAUUCCAGCUCCAAUAAGGAAAACUAAAGUUGCUGUGUUUAAAAAGCUCGUAGUUGAAUUUCGGGUAUUUGUUGCUAGCUGGUCUUACUGGCCAUGUUGGUUAACAGAUCCUCAUUUGCUGGACGGCUGGCGAUGAUCUUUAUCGAUUGUCGUUAGUUGCCAGAACGUUUACUUUGAGAAAAUUAGAGUGCUAAAAGCAGGCUCACGCCUAUAUAUAUUGCAUGGAAUAAUGAAAUAAGAUCUCGAUUUUAUUUCGUUGGUUUUAGAAAUUGAGAUAAUGAUUAAUAGGAUCAGAGGGGGGCGUACGUACUGUGGUGUGAGAGGUGAAAUUCUUGGAUCGCCACAGGACGAACAGCAGCGAAGGCGUUCGCCAAGAAUGUUUUCAUUAAUCAAGAACGAAAGUUUGAGGUUCGAAGACGAUUAGAUACCGUCCUAGUUCAAACCAUAAACGUUGCCAACUGUCUUUUAGAUGCGGUUAUUUACAUGACUCAUCUGGCGGAUCUCGAGAAAUCUAAGUUUUUAGGUUCCGGGGGAAGUAUGGUUGCAAAGCUGAAACUUAAAAGAUUGACGGAAGGACACACAGAAGUGGAGCCUGUGGCCUAAUUUGACUCAACACGGGAAACCUUACUCGGCCAGGACACUUUGAGGAU